CCUGCCUCCGGUCAGAGGGUGUGUUCAGAUUGUGGCAGGGCCCUACCCGUUCAGCUGUGCUGGGAAACAGACCUGAGAAAUGCAGGGAAAGGAGGCGGUCAGUCUGAGCGAAGCCUAGGUUUGCUGUGCCAGGAAAAAUGGGCAAUAAAUGAAUUAACCUUCAGAAGAGGCACAGAAACCCAGGCACCCAGACAAAGAGGGAAUUGAUUGUCGGGUCAGUCUUUCCACUGGACUAAAUAAGUGACACAGUUAAUGGUCUGCAGAGCACUAGCAUUAUUUCCACUUGGUGUGUGGUGAGGGGGGAGAUGGAAGGGCAGGAUCAGACCUGGGGUAGCACACACUAAGCACAGACCUAUCUUGUAUGUAGUCCAUUUGUGACUGCUUUGUUUGCUGAUUCUACUAAUUAAGACGUUUUGUUUUUGUUUAGCACUUCUAGGAGGUAUCUUUUGCCUAAGUACACAACUUCGUGGUGAGCCAGCCCUCCCUGACCACUUGUCACAUACAGACUCAGCUUUCCUGGAAUGUCAGAUGGCAGCACUCAUACCUCUGUAAAGUCAGGUGGUUGACAUCUUGAGCUGUUCAGAUGUGUCUGCUACCUUUAAACAUGCAAACAGAAAUUCUUCAACAAUUCAAUUGGGAACGGAGCCAAAAAGGAAUGUGACCACUCAUGCUUAAAGUCCAGAGGAACAAAGAAAUGCUGUGAUAGGUUAUCACUGGGCUGGGUUAAUGACUGCAAUGGCCAGAAGACUGCUUGAGCAAAGAUCUGAUGAACACACGGUCUGCAGAAAUGAGACAGACAACACACCUCUUUCAGAGACCUUACAUUUGAACCACAUAAUCUGCUUUGACUUUGCAAGGACUUUUACGAUUGUUGGCCUACAGAAAGUGCUCUACAGUUCUUGGAUCUGCCCCAGUGCAUCAUCAGCACAUCAGCACAGCUUGAGGAAACAGAAGCUUGGGUUUCACUUAGCUUGAAUGCUUACUUCCAUGGUUUCCAAGGAGAGCUAAAGUUCAAAGGGCAGAAGUUAUCUGCUUAUAUAAAUCUUCUAUGAAGUAAAUCACAUCCAUCAAACAGGAGCUCUUCAGACACUGGUACAAAGCUGACAUUUAUUUUGCUAUCACAAGGAUAAUGCUAAUUAACAAGCAGCUAAACCCAUUUGAGAAGAAAAAACAUAGUUCUCUGCCAUAAUGCAGUAGGCUAUUAUCCAAUUAAAAAUGGUCUGAUAAAAACACUUUUUAACAUUUGUUACAUUUUUUGCCUGUUUGUAAUCCAGCCAAAAAAUUCUAUCGUUUUCUGAAUGCAAGCAAGAUGUAACUAACUGUUGCCAUACCAGUAACUAGGAAGAAAAAGAACCUCCUCCACAUGGACUACCCACGCAGAUCUGAUGGGGACAGUUUGUGAAAUGCCUCGGGAAUAAAAUGAUGUGGUGGCUGAUGGUGUGCA
rnacentral:lncRNA from 1 species